AACGAACGCUGGCGGCAUGCCUAACACAUGCAAGUCGAACGAGACCUUCGGGUCUAGUGGCGCACGGGUGCGUAACGCGUGGGAACCUGCCCUUAGGUUCGGAAUAACUCCCCGAAAGGGGUGCUAAUACCGGCUAAUGUCUUCCGAACAAAGAUUUAUCGCCUUUGGAUGGGCCCGCGUUGGAUUAGCUAGUUGGUAGGGUAAAAGCCUACCAAGGCGACGAUCCAUAGCUGGUCUGAGAGGAUGAUCAGCCACACUGGGACUGAGACACGGCCCAGACUCCUACGGGAGGCAGCAGUGGGGGAUAUUGGACAAUGGGCGAAAGCCUGAUCCAGCAAUGCCGCGUGAGUGAUGAAGGCCGUAGGGUUGUAAAGCUCUUUUACCCGGGAUGAUAAUGACAGUACCGGGAGAAUAAGCACCGGCUAACUCCGUG
rnacentral:rRNA from 1 species